rnacentral:piRNA from 1 species
CCUGCAUGAAUGUCUAGGUACCAGUGU